CCCUUAGAUGUCCUGGGCCGCACGCGCGUUACACUGAUGCAUUCAACGAGCAUAUAACCUUGGCCGAGAGGCCUGGGUAAUCUUGUUAACAUGCAUCGUGAUAGGGAUAGAUUAUUGCAAUUAUUAAUCUUGAACGAGGAAUUCCUAGUAAACGCAAGUCAUCAGCUUGCAUUGAUUACGUCCCUGCCCUUUGUACACACCGCCCGUCGCACCUACCGAUUGGGUGUGCUGGUGAAAUGUUCGGAUCGGCCGUUUGUCGCGGUUUCCGCGUCGUGUGGCUGAGAAGUUCAUUAAACCCUCCCACCUAGAGGAAGGAGAAGUCGUAACA
rnacentral:rRNA from 1 species